CAAUCUGUUAAUGGUAGAUUCUUAUCUAAUAAUAAUAAACUCAUACCUAAUUGCUUAGAUUCGCUUGUUUAUUUUUCCUCAUCACAUAGCAGCUUUGAGAAGCCGCGAUGACUUGGAAUCAACAGUGUCUAGACAGACA
rnacentral:pre_miRNA from 1 species